GGAGUGGGCGAAGGCGAUCGCCUGUCUGCCCUUGGCACUUCGCGUGCUGAGGGCGCGGGAGGAAAGUCCGAACUGGGCAGGGCACGGUGGUUGGUAACCCCAACCCGGCGCGAGCCGAGGGAAAGUGCCACAGAAACGACACCGCCGGGAGAAACGUCGAAACGCCAAAAAAGUCGAAACGUCGAAAUUCAGUCAUUUUGACUUUUUGACGUUUCGAUGUUUUGACGUUUCUUUCGGUAAGGGUGAAAUGGUGCGGUAAGAGCGCACCGCGCGGCCGGUGACGGUCGUGGCAGGGCAAACCCCACCGCCAGCAAGCCCAAGUAGGCAGCGAGAGGCGGCCCGCCUCGGUGAACGAUGAAUGUCGAAUGGCGAAUUCUGAAUUCACUGUUCGCCAUUGCGAAUUCCUAAGCUGCGGGUAGGGUGCUCGAGCCGGCGGGUGACCGUCGGCCUAGAUGAAUGAUCGCCCAAUCGCUUACGCGAGGGACAGAAUUCGGCUUACCCGCCCACUCCGCCC
rnacentral:RNase_P_RNA from 1 species